AGAACUUCCCAGCGCAGAGCACUGCCCUCCACUUGCCAUGAAGAAAGAACAGCUCUUCCCCCUUCCCCCUACUUCCUUCCCUAACAAUUCCCUCCAAAGACCUCAUGUGAGGCAGGGCAAGGGAGGUGUCCACGCCCAGUCCAGAGACACUGCGGCCAGGGUGCGUGUGGGCGCACAGCAGGGGAAAGAGGGCACCGGCUGGCCUGAGAGGGGUGAGGAGGUGGUCUGUGUAGGGCGGGGGAUGGCCCAGUAGGGGGUCAGAGCCUGAGUAGUGAGGCAGGACAGCCUGGCAUGGUGUCGGAUCAGAGGAAGAGGACACAGCGGAGGGGCUGCCCAGUGUGGGUAUGCAACCUGAGCAGGGUGAAGGCGGCAUCCACAAGGAGGGCGCAAAGGGGAUCCCCUUGGGAGGGUUGGUGGCACGAGCUGUCAGAGCCCAGACAAGGAGAGGGGCAUUAAGCAGGAGCAGCAUCCUGGCAUGUGCCCAGCUGAGAGGAGGGCAUCUGAGCAGGGUGGGGCUGUGGGGCCGACACGGAAGAUGGGUUAGGUGGAGAGCCUGGUCUAACAGGUCGCUAUAUAUGGGAAGCCGGCUCUCCCUGUCUGGGGAGGAAAUUACAAAUAUGGAAAAGGAGGAGACUAGAAUGGACCUGCCCUGUUUGUUGGAACUGGAGGAACUAUGUCUGGGAACUCAAACUUUUUGGGAAACUUGCCAUCAGGUGGGGCAUGUCAGCUGGAGGCAGAUGGCUGCAUUCCCAAGGAAAGAGGAGAGAGGAGGAAGAAAGCUGGGAACCAACGUGGAAAAACGGGCAAGAACCACAGCCAAACGAUAUCCCAGGAACAGGCCACGGCUGCCCAGGACACGUCUUCCACCCGCCCCGCCACUGGUGGAUUUGGACUCCUGCCCAUGCCACCAGGCACGUACCUCCCCACCCCCAGCCCAGCCCCUCCUCUGGGCAUUGCUUAGGGUGGAGGCUCAGCCGAGGCCACUGCCAGGCUGCGGCCACCAUGGAAGGGCAGGGAGGACUUCUGGGGACUCUAAACAGAAGCUGAAUGAUGAGUAGGAGUGUGUGUGUGUGGUGAGGGAGAUGGUCAGUGUUCUGGUAGAGGGGACGAGCGUGGGACAUCCUGGGGAUCGUUCCUGUGGCACAGAGCAGGGAGCGUAUGUAGAUACACCAAUGAGGAAUAAAACAGAAGCCCACACUCUACAUUUACAGAGUACUACUGGGGACUUCUGGUUCUAGCCCUAAGAGGGUAACAGGUAUCAGACUUACCUCCCCGCCAUGAACAACUAGAAAACUGGGCAGAUUAUAUGAAGCAACUGUUUCUAAGCACUGGAUGACACCGCAGGGCUGUGGUCCCUAGAGAAGGACACACAUGAGGGCAGCUCCACCUUCACUCGGUGUUCUGCCUGGAGGCAGCCCAGGCACUUUCUAAACCACAGCAGAGGGGAGGGAGGCCCAGGGAGCAGUAAUCUCACUGGGCAGAGAAAGCAGAGGCUGGAGCUCAGGGCUGCUGAGGUGGCUGGUAUUUGUGGGGUUCCAGAGAGGAAAAGGUCAAGCAGAGAAGGAUCCCCAGGAAGUUACGCAGGAGUCCCCUUGAGUUUUCAAGCAAACACUUAGCUACACAUGCACAAGGCGAGGGUUUGUGGAGCCUCUCAGAGAAGAGCCACCAGGGAGCCAAAGGGAGACUCCAGAGGACACCCAGCAAGGGGAGACGUCGGAGUUCUGACCAGCCAGAAGGACAAGACCUUGCCGAAGACACCAGGUACUCAGUUGUGACCUCAGAAAAGCCACUCUCUUUUAAAAGUUAGUUUAGUGAGGUAUCGUUUACACAUAGUAAAAUUCACCAUUUUUAGGUGUACACUUCUGAGUUUUGACAAACGCGUACAGUCAUGUAAACACAUCAUGAUCAAGAUAUAAAACAUUUCUAUUACCCAAAAACAUUCCAUGUGCCCUUUAACCAUCAUUUCCUCACCCUCCUAGGGCCCCUGUGACCACUGCUCUGAUUUUGAUCCUUCUGAGAGGGCCACAGUUUCAGUGGAGAACUGCGCUAGCCCUGGAGUAAGGGCUGUUCCAGACCCAUCCAGACAAAGCCGAAAAACGAGUCUUGACAGGAUAAAACUGAUGUACAAAAAAAUGCAGCUAACCGCCAAAGCCAAACUCAGUAAUCUUUAAAGGAAGACAACAAAAUCCAGACUCUCAACAAGGUACUAUCACAAUGUCCAACAUCCAAGCAAAAAUGAUUAGAGAUGCGAUAAAGCAGGAAAAUGUGAAUCAUAACCAGAAGAAAAGUUAGCCAAUAAAGAGCCCCAUGGAAUUCAUGGGGCAAAGUGGAGGUACCCUCUGUCAUUAUGUAUUUUCCCAUCGGUAGACGGUUAGUUCCCCUGAAGCAGCGUUAACAUUAAAAAGGAGUUCUUGGAAGCAAAAGAGAGAGAGCCACAGGCAUAGGGGCCAUCCAGAACCCAAGUGUCCAUCAAGACGGCCAGUAGGUGCACAAUGUGGACGGUCCUAGAGCCGGGCACUGGGACCCAGAGUUGUGGGCUGCACAACUACAGCCCUGAGGGGUUCAGCCUGGGUGAAGAUAGAUAAGAGCACAGCACAGAUGGCAGAUGCCAUGAGAGGCACAGCAAAGGCUCUUGGGCACCAGAGGGUGAGAGUUAUGGAAGUCUUCGUGGAGGAGGUUCCUUUUGAAUUGAGCUUUAAAAGAUGGUUGGAUGUCAACUGCAUCUCAAUAAAAAUUUGUAAAAAAUAAGAAUAAAAAUAAAAGAUGGUUGGGAAAUAAAUAAAACAGUUUUUGGAAUCACCCAUAACAUCAUCCAUUGCCCAAAAGUCACGGCUGUUGGUGUUCUGGUAAAUUUCUUCUCUUUGAAUUCUCUUUUUAUUUUCUCCUAAAUGUAGCUCGAACCCUCUCUCCUCAAUUCUGUUUUGCAUUUUUCAGUUAAUGUCAUUUUGAAAAGCAUUUUCUGAAAAUUCUUUGUAACCAAUUUUGACAGCUGUGAAAUGUCAUUAAGUGUCUAUGACAUGAUCCAAUUAGCCAGCUCUCUAUUGUUGAAUAUUUAGGUGAUUUUCAAGUUCUAAUUAAUGCUGCAAUAAGCACUUUGUUCUCCCCUUUUUCUGAUUAGUCCCUUAAGUUACAUUCCCAGGAGUGGAAUAAUUGGCUCAAAAGAUAUAAACAUUGUAAAGUUCCUGAUACCUACUGCCAAGUGACUUUUCUGGAAAGUUGCACAAAUUUACACUCCCUCCAUACCUACACUCACAUGACGUCUGUCCCCAAAUUGUGUCCCGUCUAUCUUUCUGUCCUCAGUGCCCAGAAUAGGACAGGAGCCCAGUGACACCCCUUGCAUCAUUUGUGACCACACUUUCACAAAAGGGCAGGGUUAUCCAGGGUCCAGAAAAGAGCCCUGAGAGAUUCUCCAGGGGCCAAGACUCAGCCAAGUGUAGGUGGGCUCGGGGGCCUCCAGAGCCAGGCUCGAACCCCUGGCGUGGAGAUGGGACGGCUCUUAGAGACCCGUAAGUUCAAUUUCUCAUUUGAAGGUCAAGGAAACUGGGAUCAGGAGGGGCAGGUAGCUUUCAAAGUGCCUGUUUCUCGGGAUUCUGGUCCUGGAGGUGUGGAGGCUGGGCCAGGAUGUUGGGGCCUCAGGCUCCCAGCAGGACCCACCAGCCAGGGACCUCAAGCCCUGAGCUGGCCUCCCUGGGGUCACUCCAUCCCACACAUUUUGCUGUGCUGUGGAUGCGAGGAGCUGGAGGCCAAGGCCUCUGAGCAAAUGUCCAAAGGCAGGCCAGGGGGAAGACAACAUCUGACCCAGGAGAGGCGAGUUUGCUCUCCCUCUUGCAUGAGCGUUUCCCUGUCUCGUAGUCCAGGAAAGACACUAAGAUGGCUGUCACCCCUUUCAGAGACCCAGUGUCCCAGAAUCACACCAUCUCGGGGCAUCUGGAGCGGGAAUCUCUUCCUCAACCUCCCAGACCACCAGGCGGCCAGCUUCAGCCUCCGAGAAGCUGAGACCAGGAGCAAGCGCCUGAACCUCUCUGAGCCUCAGCUUCUUCGUCUGUGAACAGGGGCUGGUCACACGAGUGUCCAGGGCUACUGUGAACAUCGUAGGGUAACGUGUGUAAAGUCCUUGUGCCUUGCACUUGGGCCACAGCUGUCCAACGCAGGACACACACCAGCACGGGGCUAUGUUGUUUGGAGAUGCUCAGCCCUCAUCACGGCUGAGAGCUGCUUUUCCUGUGUAGACUGUUACGUUGGUGGCCUCCAGGGAACACCACCUCCCGUGUUCGUGACCUUCUGUAGUCCCCAGGCCUUGUGACUUGCUUGGCCAGUAGAAUGUGGCAGAAGUGAUGCUGUGCCAGUUCCAGGCCUACACCUUAAGAGGCCUGGCAGCCUCUGCUUUCCUGCUCUCCUGGAACUCGGCCACCACGCUGUAAGGAGGUCAGGCUGUCCUGCUGGAGAGAAAGGCAUGAGGGCAGCUGCAG